UAAAGGCUUGGUCCUGACUUUACUAUCAACUUUGGCUAGACUUACACAUGCAAGUCUCCGCACCCCCGUGAGAACGCCCUCAACCCUCUGCCCGAGAACAAGGAGCCGGUAUCAGGCACAUACAUCUAUAGCCCACGACACCUUGCUUAGCCACGCCCUCAAGGGUAUUCAGCAGUGAUAAACAUUAAGCCCUAAGUGAAAACUUGACUUAGUUAGAGCCAAGAGGGCCGGUAAAACUCGUGCCAGCCACCGCGGUUAUACGAGAGGCCCAAGUUGAUAGCCGCCGGCGUAAAGAGUGGUUAAGGAAACUUUUUCAACUAAAGCCGAACGCCUUCAAGACUGUUAUACGUGUUCGAAGGUAAGAAGCCCCACCACGAAAGUGGCUUUAAUCCCCCCCCCUGACUCCACGAAAGCUGCGAAACAAACUGGGAUUAGAUACCCCACUAUGCCCAGCCUUAAACUUUGAUAGCCCCCUACACCCGCUAUCCGCCAGGGAACUACGAGCANUUAGCUUAAAACCCAAAGGACUUGGCGGUGCUUUAGAUCCGUCUAGAGGAGCCUGUUCUAGAACCGAUAAUCCCCGUUAAACCUCACCCCCUCUUGUCAUUCCCGCCUAUAUACCACCGUCGUCAGCCCACCCUGUGAAGGAACUAUAGUAAGCAGAAUUAGUACAGCCCAAAACGCCAGGUCGAGGUGUAGCAUAUGAGGGGGGAAGAAAUGGGCUACAUUCCCUGUUUUUCCGGGAACACGGACAAUGUAAUGAAAUGUACAUUAGAAGGAGGAUUUAGCAGUAAGCAUGAAAAUAGAGUGUUCAGCUGAAACCGGCCCUGAAGCGCGCACACACCGCCCGUCACCCUCUUUUAUCCGCCACUUAAAGACCCCAAUCUUUUUCGGCAGAGGAGAGGCAAGUCGUAACAUGGUAAGUGUAUCGGAAGAUGCACUUGGAAUAAC
rnacentral:ncRNA from 1 species